GCGUGGCGGAGUCGCCGCCGCAGACGCGCGUCAGCUCUCAAGGCUGAAACAGGGGUUCGAUUCCCCUAGGAGCGCCA
rnacentral:tRNA from 1 species